rnacentral:lncRNA from 1 species
ACUCGUCACCUCGUAUGCAUGGACUACAAUUAGCAUAGAAGACUCAAAUUCCAUGAGGUAGUCCACUACAACAAAAUAUAUUUUUAGCGGCAAUUAUUUAGUGGCAAUAAGAUAAUCGCCGGUAAUUAAUUCCUUAUGUCAAACUGUUAGUGGCUAAUAUAAAUUAGACGGAAAAAGUUACAUAUUUAUUGACAAUUAAAUGAAAUGGCCAGUAAAAUAACAAACUUUAUCUUUUUAAUCUCCAAAAGAAAACCCUAUAUUUUUCAUUUCCCUCUCUAUUACUCCUCCCACCUUUGGCUUUUCUUCUAUAGUGUUUCUCUUAUUUUUUUUCCAUUUAUAUCAUCUAAGAGUUUUUAUGCUUUCAAUGAAUAUUGAAGAUAAUAGCAGCAAUCCAGCAACCAAAAACGAAGAAAAAGCAUGAACACAUAUAUUACACCAUUUUCAAAGCCCGAUUAACUAGUUAUUGAUCGAAAACCUCUGCCUUUUUACUAUCGCCGGCAUCUCCAUCACUGUCAGUUACCUAUUUGAUACUUUUGCAUAAUUUUUUACUUGUAUUUGUCAUUUUCUAUCUACAUCCUUAUAUAGAUAGAAUGUUCUACGUAUUCCAUUUUGAUAGGAAUUAAGUGUUCUCAAUUUUUUUGUUUUUAGCUUUGCGUUUGUUGGAUUUUGAUUUUGUAAUAAUUGAAACUGGAUUUAUUCUACUUUAUUUGCAUUUUACUAUAUUGCUUGUGAUGGAAUUUGAUUCUGAAUUAUUUGAGUAUUCUAUAUUACUUUAGGUGUUGCUUCUAGAGGACAAAUUCAAGAAACCUAUUCAGUGUUCGAUAAAAUGUUACAAAGAAGUAUGUUUGCUUUAAUAACAAUGACUAAUGUGUAUGAUGCUUUACUAGUAUUUCUAUGAAUCUUUGAAAAUCAAGACAUCAUUUUUUAGACAUUCAUAUGUUUUGAAUUUUUAAUUUAUGUGACCCUCGGUUAGAUCAAUAUCAAUUGAAAAGUUUUAAACAUAAGAGCUCCAAGAGAGGAUAAAUAAAGCGUAAACAGAUGCAAUAAUAGACUAAAUGAGGAGAAAUACAUUUGCCUGUGUCAGUUGUUUCUUUUACCAGAUUCUAUACAUAAGUCUAUGCAACAAUAGAGUAAAUGAGAUCACUCAACGAACUGCUGCUUACUAAAGAGAGUAAAAACUUUUCUAAACCUAGGAAAUCAUAUCUCCAAUUAUAUUUUGUUUAACAUAGUAAUCAAUUGACAGUUUAAGUUAUUGAUUUUAAUUCAUUAUUUGUGGGCGUAGGGUUGAAUUUUAAAGAUAUAAUGUGAAAGUCCAGGCAGAGAUUAGUUAUAUAUUGUGGGUGAGGAUUUGAAUGGAAGCUCCUUCUAGUUAACAUUAUCUUGUUAACUUGAUCCCAAAUGGGGAAUGUUCCUAGUCAAUGAACAUUCUUCCUUAUUGUUAAUUUUUUAGGGAGAGGGAGACGCAAAAAAAAUUAGAACUUUCUGUGGAUUAGCACAAAUUGAUAACUCUUUAUUUAUUCUAUGUUCUUGCAUGCCAUAUAUAAAUAAUUGUUUGAAUAUCUUUCCUUAUAAAUAAGUAAUUAUAUGAUAGGCCAUUUUUAUUAUCAAUAUUUUGUUUGUGCUAGGUUAUUUGCAGUUGUGGAUGGUAUAUUCUGCUUGUUUAACGCCACAUUGAGAAUGUAUAAUAUCUAAAGUAACAAUAUGGUUAAAAAAUAUAAUGAAUAAAGUAAUCGUUGUUGUAGAGGCAUAUAUAACUUUGAUGGAUAAAGGUCCUUAUCAUGCAGAUCAAGUUAGUAGAGAUUUCCAUGGAAAGUUUACUUUCAUUCUCUAUGGAAGCUCUUCAACAACUAUCUUUUUAACUACUAUGGGUGUUUUUUUAAUAUAUCUUGAUCUUGAUAUCAAAUUGUCCAUAAUUGAAAUUGGACAUUCUUCUAGGUAUGCUUCUUUUUUUAAAAAUAAUGUGAAAUUGGCCGAGCUUGCAAUUUAACUAUUAUUAUGUUGUUUAACCUCUUAUAAGAGAAAAAAACUGGAGCUAUACAAGAAAAUUGUUAAAAUGGUUUAAGAUGGUAAGACUGAUGGUAUCUAGGUUGCUAUAUUAUUUUACUAAUCAAGUUAAUAGAGAUAAGUUGACUUUUCUAAAUCAGAAGUUUCUUUUAUAGAACCAUUCUAGACACAUUAAGGUGAAUCUUGAUGUGCUAGUAAAAUCACUGGAUGAAUGUGGCAAAACUUAUGAGUUGUGACCUGAAUUAACUACACUGCUUGAACUUUUAUUUGAUAACUGCACACCUUUUUGUUCUUUUUGUGAUGAUAUAAUCUUUCAUCGAGUUUUUCAUAUGUUUCUAUCUUUUUAUUAUAAAAUCAGUAAAAUCUAAUAAAAAGACUAUGUGAAAAAUAUAAUCAUUUUUUUGUUAGUUCUUUGUGCUGAAUUGGCACUAAGUUAUAGAUUCUGAGAAGAAUCUACUAAUAAAAAUUAUUUCCGAGAAGAAAUUGUGGUUCUAGCAAAGAAUUUUUUCUCUUAAAAAUGCCAGUUGAAUUUCUUUGAAGAUGAUCGGUUUCCAACAGUUUUGAUGAUUACCUUGUAUAUUUUAAAAACCAAAUCAAAAUUUUCUUGUCUGAACAUGUGUUCUUACUUACUUAAUAGGAACUAGCAUCGAUACAUGUGACCCUAAAUGAACAAAGAGCUAGGAGUGAGAACUUGAAAAGAAUCAAGGUUCAUUUUGCCUUCAUAGUCUAUAUUUCAACUAUAGAUAAGUAAUCCCUUUUCAUGAGCAGAUGCACUAAAUUUCUGCAACUUUUAUUGUGCAGAUUGAUUUGGAUCUACAAUCUAUAAAUGACAUGGCUACAGAAUCAGUGUCCUACCAAUGGAACUUGCUGGUUAAUCAAGAAUCGUCCAUGUUGGUUUAAACUUGUCUGGACACACCAUAUGACCUGGUAUUAUUUGCAUUAUUUGCACAUACAUUUUGCUCGCCUAUUAAUCCAUCUAGUUGUUUUUGCUAAUAAAUGUUUGGUGAGAGAGUUGGCUAAAAAAGAAUAUGACAGACUGACAAUGAUAGACUCUUCAAUAUAUUUUUUCACAUUAUAUUUUAUCUUUUGACACAUUUUUUUUAUAAUUUCAGGUCACACUUUGAUGUUCAAUAAUUUAGCGGGUGGAAGAUUUUAAUAUGAUGAAAAGUUGCGGAAAUUAUUUGAAGAUUAUCAUUCGUCAGGAUUAGUUAUAUAAUAGCAUUAGCUAUUCAAUUCGAACAAUAUAAGUUUAUUUUUAAGUUAGUAUGAC